UGUGUGUGUGUGUGUGUGUGUGUGUGUGUGUGUGUGUGUGUGUGUGUGUGUGUGUGUGUGUGUGUGUGUGUGUGUGUGUGUGUGUGUGUGUGUGUGUGUGUGUGUGUGUGUGUGUGUGUGUGUGUGUGUGUGUGUGUGUGUGUGUGUGUUCACAUCUCAGCUUGAAGCUAAAAUUAGUUUGUUAAAGGGACAUCUCACACAUUUUGAGUUACUCUGUUUAUGAAUAAGUCAUAUAUAUGUGUUCUUCUGCACUAGUUUUGUGCUGUAUGUGAAACUAAUUAGUAAGUGCUCUGACAAUUUGAUUGUAACAUCAGCCAACCCAAUACAUCACAUUUCAUCUGAAAGACUGAGACUGGUGUGUGAUCAGGAUCAGUCCGGAUCAGACCGGUUCAGUCAAACAGCAGGAACUCACUGUUAAUAACAAUAACUCACACACUGCAUGAUUGUGAACAGAUGCGUCUGCACAGGAGGAAGCAAAAAAAAGAGUUUAUUUUUAAAAGAAAGAAAGGGUCUCUGGACUUUCAGAUCUGAACACCUGAGCAUUGGCGCCACCUGCUGCUCGAGAUUAAACUCAGGGCAGUUCCGCUUCCGGGCAGCAGGCGGCGCUUCCGGCUUCAUCAGAUUCUCCUGAAGCAGAAGAACACACAGAGCUCGUGAGGCGGAAGUGCAGCGAGUUCAUGAGCGCGGUUAGUUUCUGAUAUCUCUCCGCAGGUGAUGAGACUCGGUCCGCGGCGGGCUCUGAGCGGCGGCGCGCUGUGUUCGCUCGUACUCGGAGGAGUUUUAGGAAGAAUGUCGUCGUCGUCGGUGUCUGGGCUCCCGAACCGGACUGUGAUCUGGGAGACGUCAGAGCUGUCUGCGCAUCUGCACUCCUCCCCGUGGACUCCAGGGGUCGCUGUCGUCACCCAUAAGAGCUUCAGCAGCAGCACCAGCCUCUUCCACUUACCUGAGGAUGCAUUUCUGCAUCUGCUCCUGGGCGCAAGAUCAGUCGCGCACCUGCUGUGUCAGAGUCUGGCGGUGCAGCGCUGCGCUUUGGUCUACACUCCGCACAAACGGGCCGGACCCGAGCUCCACGUGGUGCCUCUCCACGGCCUGCACUCGGAGUGGAAACCUCACCUCGCUGCGGAGGAGGAUUUCCAGGCGUACGAUCCCGGAUACAUCAGCUCCAAGAUCGGGCCGCGCUGGACAGAUGAGGAUCUAGACUCCAUCAGGAGCCAAGUCCGGGCUCAGCUGCCAAACCCGAACGCGGCGCCCAACUACACCUUUCUGGGCGAUCCGUCCGACCCCGGGCUGUUCCCACGCAUCGUGCGUGGAGAAGAGAAGCAGUGGAGAGUUUGGGAAGAUGACGAGCAUGUGGCCUUCCUCACACCGUUCCCCAACACGCCCGGACUGACCGUUCUGGUCCCACGGAAGCCCCUCUCCAGUGACAUCUUCCGGCUGGAGGAGGGUGACUAUCGGCGGCUGGCGCUGGCCUCCCGGAAGGUGUCCGGGCUUCUGGAGGCGGGGCUUGGCGCCUGGGGGGUGGGGCUUAUUUUUGAGGGCUUUGAGAUCGAUUACGCUCAUGCUAAGCUGAUUCCGCUCGUCUCUCCGCCUGAUGAAGCGGAGAUGAGCCUCAGCUGUCCGGCUCCGGAGUUCUUUGACCGAUAUCCGGGCUACGUGACGUCCGUCAGUGGUCCGCCAGCCAGCACGGAGAGUCUCCACGAGAUCUGUGCCAGAGUUACCCAGCUCUAACUAGGGCUGCAAAAGGGUGGUAAA
ensembl:lncRNA